UUUCUGGUGGUUCAGUGGUAAGACUUGGUAUUUCCAUUGCUGUGGCCCAGCUUCAAUCCCUGGUCAGGAAG
rnacentral:tRNA from 1 species